GAUGAACGCUAGCGGCAGGCUUAACACAUGCAAGUCGAGGGGUAGAGGAUGCUUGCUUCCUUGAGACCGGCGCACGGGUGCGUAACGCGUAUACAAUCUACCUUUUACAGAGGGAUAGCCCAGAGGAAUUUGGAUUAAUACCUCAUAGUAUCUUCGAAUCGCAUGGUUUGAUUAUUAAAGUUCCAACGGUAAAAGAUGAGUAUGCGUCCCAUUAGCUAGAUGGUAAGGUAACGGCUUACCAUGGCAACGAUGGGUAGGGGUCCUGAGAGGGAGAUCCCCCACACUGGUACUGAGACACGGACCAGACUCCUACGGGAGGCAGCAGUGAGGAAUAUUGGACAAUGGGCGCAAGCCUGACCCAGCCAUGCCGCGUGCAGGAAGACGGUCCUAUGGAUUGUAAACUGCUUUUAUACAGGAAGAAACACUCCCUCGUGAGGGAACUUGACGGUACUGUAUGAAUAAGCAUCGGCUAACUCCGUGCCAGCAGCCGCCGUAA
rnacentral:rRNA from 1 species